rnacentral:rRNA from 1 species
UACGUAGGGGGCAAGCGUUGUCCGGAAUCAUUGGGCGUAAAGCGCGUGUAGGCGGUCCGGUAAGUCCGCUGUGAAAGUCGGGGGCUCAACCCUCGGAUGCCGGUGGAUACUGUCGGGCUUGAGUACGGAAGAGGCGAGUGGAAUUCCUGGUGUAGCGGUGAAAUGCGCAGAUAUCAGGAGGAACACCAAUUGCGAAGGCAGCUCGCUGGGACGUUACUGACGCUGAGGUGCGAAAGCGUGGGGAGCAAACAGG